UAUGUACUCCCUCCGUCCGAAAAAGCUUGUCCCUCAAAUGGAUGUAUCUAGCACCAUGUUAAUGCUAGAUACAUCUAUUUGAGAAACAAACUUGGGACAAGUUUUUUUGGACGGAGGGAGUAUGCA
rnacentral:pre_miRNA from 1 species